rnacentral:lncRNA from 1 species
AGGGAUCUCUUUGCUUGCCCCUUGUGAUUCCUCAUUAUGGGGAGAGAGUAGGGGGCUUAGAAGGAGGGUUUUAAAGCAACUUUUUCUUGGCAAAGAAUACACCAAAGAUGGAUCUAGAAUUUGAAGUCAAUUUGUACUAUUUUAUUGGAUUGUUGGAUCUAUAUCUUUGCAUAAAAAGUGUUAAUUGGGAGAUUUGAAUGAAGUUGAGAACAAAAAGGAUCAAAAGAUCAAGAAAACAUGGGUUUGGAAGAAUUGGAAGGGCUUAUUAUUUCAUGGUAAGUACUUUGUGUAAGUGUUAUUUGGAUAUUUUCAAAUUUGACUUGCUCUUUGCAAGGUUUGCAUUGUUUUUUGGAAUUGUUUGUUAAUUAGCUAUAUAACUUUGGUUCCCAAAAGACAAUUGUGUUAUAUGGGUUUAGUUCUCGUAGAAGUUGCAUCUUUACUAAUAUCGUUGUUGUUUGGAUUUGGAUUAGUAACGUAUUUAGAUGCCUCCAUAUUGUUGGAAAGUUGUUCUCGUCGCUUUCCAACCACUUGCUUGGGUGGUAGAGUUAGUGGGGAGAUGUUUCUCAAAUAGGAUAGUUGGUUAAAUUGAUAGAAAAAGACUUGUUGUGGGGUGAGUGUUUGGAACGUUCGGAUUGAAUAUGAAAAUUUUGAUUCACGUAUUGAAGAAAUUACAAUCCAAAUAAGAUUUUAAUGGAUUGAAUUUUUAAAUUACGAUUUUGGAUUGAUCGAUUUGGAUGUUUUGAAUUUAACUUUUGAGCCUUUAAGUUCGUUCAUAACAAUCAACUAUCCCAAUUCACCUAAUACUUUGCUUUUUAAUUGUGAUCACUCUAUUGAUCAUGUCGUGUAAUCAGAGAGGGAGUCGGGAUUAGGAGUUUGAGGUUCUAAAUUUUAGUAUAGAAGAGGAUUUUGGGGAUCUAGAUCUUAGGAUAGAAGAAAUGAGUUUGGAGAAUCUAAAUUAUUGGACAAAAGAGAUGAUGCUUCAUUUUUAAAAAAAGAGAAACUUUUGUUGAUAGUGUUGUUAGAAUCCACAACAUUAGUGUUUCCAUGAGUCAUCAAACUAUUUUAUAAGGGAUUCACAAGUGAUAUAUAAUUUUCUAAUACAAAUACAGAGUCUACAAAAAAGUUAUUGAAUUGUCUGAACCCACAAACCCCCACUUAGCUUACCAUUGAGUCGUCAAUCAAUUUUAUAAGGGAUUCACAAGUUAUACAUAAUUUUAUGAUGCCAAUAUAGAGUCCACGAUAAAGUUAUUGAAUUCGUCUGAACCCACGAACCCCACUUAGCUCUGCCUUUGAGUGUAAUUUCAUAUUGAACCUAAUAAUAUAAUGAGUAAGUCAUAAGGUACUAAUUUUAUUGGACCUCGAAAGAGUUGGACUUGUUAGUAUUGCACAUAUGACAUCGAUAGGGUUGAAUAUAAGGUGCAUCCAAUGAUUUGGCCUAGUGGUCAACAAAGUGGGUUGAGAAUCAUGAGAUUUCAAGUUUAAAUUCUAGCGGAGAGAAAAUUAGUAGGUGAUUUCUUCUCAUAUGCCUAUUUGUGUUUGGAUGUCUAUUCGUGUUUGGGCAAAUAUCAUUGAUAUAUAUUGUGAGAGUGUUGUUUGCAAUCAAGAAUUGACUCAUCUAAAAAUGAGUAGUAGAAAUGAGGAUGUUUAAAUAAAUAUAUGUGCAUAAUAAGGAAAGAUAGGAUUACAAAAGAAACUAUUCGAGAUAAGGUGUAUCUGCAAUAGACAAGAUGUGUGAUGUGACACUAAGAUGGUUUGGACAUACGAAGAACUGGCACUUCUAAAAGUGAGUUGUGAACAUUAGGAUGCUUAAAUGAAUAUAUGUGCAUAUUAGGAGAGAUAGGAUCAGAAAAGAAACUAUUCAGGACAAGGUAGAGAGAGUGGCCUUGCAAUGGACAAAAUGAGUGAAACGACACUAAGAUGGUUUGGACAUGUGAGGAAUAAAUGUUCCAAUCAAAAGGUGUGGUAGACAAAAAAAAGUCUUGGAUUGAGGUUAUUAGACAUGAUAUGACACACAUGUGGUUUAUCAAACACAUGAUGCUAGAUAUGAAGAUAUAGAGGUUGAUGAUUAAGAUUUAAGAUUGAAGAUUGAAGAUUAGUAUGUAGUUGAGUUUUGUUUGGUUCCCCGAUCGUUAUUAGUAUUGUUACUCUCCUCCUGGUUUUAUUAUUUGGUUUUUAUGUUACCCGUUGUUUACUAUGCUUCAAUUAUCGUACAUUUUGUUAUUAUUGCUUACUUUUUUCUUAAUUGUUUUCAGCACAUCUUUGUUAUUAUAUUUGUUUUACUUUUUUUGAUAUAUUUAACUUGAGUCGAGAAUCUAUUGAAUCAACAUAUUUAUCAAGAUAGAGGCAAAGAUUCAUACACGCCCUCUUUUCAAAACCUCAUUAUGGAAUAACUAAAGGGGUCGUUUGAUAGGGUGUAUAAGUUGUAUUAAUGAUGUUUGCAUUAGUUAUGUCGAGAUUAUUUUUUAUGCAUUGUUUGGUUUUGGUGUAUUAAAAAAUAACAUGCAUUCCAUAAUUUUUUUAAAAAAAAUAUUUACAAAGAUAUCCUCCACUUAAAAAAUGUAGAAGAAAGUUUUGAGAGGAAAUUUGGUCUUUAUAUGUUAAUGCAUGCAUUAAAUUUCUUUGCACUACUAAUACUAUGGAUUUUCAUGUAUUAGCAAUGCACACUUAGGGGUCGUUUGGUAGAGUGUAUUAAAAAAAAUAAUGCAUGUAUUAGCCUUGUGUAGUACUAGUACAUUGUUUGGUACUCUUUUCCAACCUAUGUAUAACUAAUACUUGCAUUAGUUAUAUACUCUAUUAUGUAUUAAAGUGUGUAUUGCUAAUACCAUGGAUUUCUAGGUAUUAGCAAUACAAUGAUUUUAACGCAUGCAUUAACUUAAUUAAAGACCCAAUUAAUCCUCAAUACCUUUUUUUUAUAUCUUUUCCAUCAUAAUAGUGAAGGGUAUCUUUGUAAAUAAUUUUUUUAAUGCAUCAAACCAAACAAUACAUAAAAAUAAUAUAUGUAUUAUUAAUGCAAGCAUUACUAAUACAUGCAUUGCUAAUGCAAGCAUUAUUAAUACACUUUAUUUAGCAUUAUUUUUAUACAAUCUACUAAACAAUUCCUUAAUACAUUAGUGUAUAACUAAUGCAGACAAUAACUGUACAUAGCAUGAAAAAGUGUAUCAAACAAAUAUUACUUAUACAUAAAGCUAAUGCAUGCAGAAGUGUAUCAAAUAAGAUAUAUUACUAAUACACAAAACUAAUGUAUGCAUUAUUUUUGCGAUUGCACUACCAUCUAACCCUCAACUCGGUGCAAUUGAAUUCUCCGUGAAGAUGCGGAGUACCAACGACUAGACGGUAAGACCCUGUGCACCUUAACUAUAGUUCGCAGUGACAACCUUAAUCGAAUAUGUAGGAUAGGUGGGGAGGUGGUGACACACAACGACCAAUCCUGAAAGACCAUUCUUUCGUCUAAGGAUGCCUAAUCGUCGCACCGAUCAUUUGAGGGGAGGCGGGAUACUGCGAGGUGGGUAGUUUAUCUGGGGCAGAUGCCUCCUAACGAGUAACGGAGGUGUGCGAAGGUAGGCUCAAGCUAAGAUGCUACUCAUGAGCUUAAUGGUACAAGUCUGACUGUGAGACUGGUCAAACUGAGACGAAAGUCGGCCAUAGUGAAAGUAUAUUGUCGUUGCUGCGUGUACGUCUUAGUUUUAGUGCACUAUAUUGAUUUUCAAGAAUGACCAAUUUUAGAGCAAUAAUUCAAUUGAUGCUUCAAACUUUGUAGACACGCAGGGUCGUUUAGUUUGAAGACAUCUUAGGAUAAGAUUAGUUAUGUUAGAAUUAAUUAUCUUAGUAUUUUUAGUAAAUGUUUAGUUUGUUAUAUUAAAAAUAAUAUGGAUUGCGUAAUUUUUAAAAAUAAGUUUGUUUAAAAAAUAUCUUCCAUAAGAGUAAAAUGUGUAAAAAUGACAUAAAAAAAGGGUUUAAAGGGAUAUUAUGUCAUUUUAACUUAUUUUAUCUCACCAAAUGUCUCCACACUAUUUUACUCUAUAAUUUAGUUUGUGUCAAAACCCUGAAUGAAUGUGAUCUAAUAGUUGUCGAAUUCAUAAUGUUAAUCUAAAACAUGGCGCAUUUAUUGUUGUUUCUUUAAUAAAAAAUGAUGAUAUAGUUACGACUUACGAGUAGUAUAAUAUGUGACUCAAUAAAACCACUAUACAACUAGACUGUUUUUGCCUAAUCUAAAGCAACGGUAAUAUGCAGAUAAAAAUUUACUCAUAUUCGGUGUUGACCCUUAGUUAAUAAAUCCAUACACGUUUGUACAUAAGCUUUUAGUGCCUCAUCAAAUCACUUAAUAAUUAUAAUAAAAUACAUUUGAUUUGGUAUAAACACUCUUUGCUUUAGUUUCACAUUUUUCUAUCUAGAAAUUAUUUACUACCAAUCAAACAAUAAAUCCCUGUUAGGAAACCUAUUGCUGCUACCUUGCUUGGUUCCACACCCCAUUGUUUUAUUUACUUAAAGUCUAACAUGUACUAGUGGUUCAUAAUUCCUUAAAGAGUACUAUAGAAAGUAUUUGCAUGAAAUUUCACAUUAUAUUCCAUUAUGUAAUCAAAUGCGAAGGUUGCGAGUUUUUGUAUAGGAGAAGCUGCCUUUAUUGCAGGAAAAAAGAAUGUUCCUUUUAACAUUUACUUUUCUACAGGCAACAAUGGUGAAGAGGGCCUAAGCUGCAAGAAAUAUGUAUCAAAAUUGUCCUUGGCCUAACACCUAAAAGAACACCCAAGGACAAUAGCAACAACCAAAUACUAACUGCUACUGCUGCUAAAGAAAGUACUGCUAUUUCUCUAAACUAUGUAUGUGAGCUGCUCCAAAUCUGUGACAACUUGGUUGAUUGCAUGAAUGACCAUCUUCUUUAUCUGUUACACCAGAGGACGAAACAAGUCAGUAAGAAAUGGAGGCUAGGCUUAACGUAGCCAGAUUAAAACAAAGCAUUUUUGAUAUGGCACCUCUAGUUUGUCUUCUCUGGCCUUGUGGCCUUUCGGCAAUGUCCUGAACUCAGCUGUGAGGCGGAAACAUUCUCGAAUGUUUUCAGGAGAAACAAAAUCAGCAGCAACUUUGGUACACGACUGGAAAGUUGAAAACGGUUGGUUACUUGAUGAACUUGAUCAUCUGGAUUUUCAUGGAUUAUAUAAGUAUGAUUCUUACCUUGAGAUUACGCACUUGGUGAGGGCAUCCUGCAGGAAUGAAAACUGCCUCUCCAAGUCUUUGCUCGAAUGUCCAAGGUUCAAUCCCUAAAAUGGUAAGCAUCCACAUUUUGAGUUUAUUAAACAAAAUGUGAUCCUUGUUCUUAAGGAAAGAUAACGAACAAGGUAAAUUACUAACCGAAUUCUUCCUUCAGUUUUCUCUUGUGCUCCAUAGUUAGGUAGAAGCUCUGGUCAUGGAUUGGAUGAAAAACCUGAUCAACCGGACAACAGAAAGUGUGCCUAAAUUCCUUUGCAUGCUUUAAAAGAUACUCAUUCAACUUGGGUACGUCUUCCCUUCUGAAAAUGUCCCACAAGGCACCUCCAGUUGUCUCUGAAUCAUCAGAGGUUUUCUCCUCCCCUCUAAUAUCACUAGACAUCUUCAUAGGAUAUUCAUCAGCCUCACAUUUGAGGCGCUCUCUUUCAUCUUGAGUUCUAUGCCUCUGUUUCACUAUUUCAAUUGCAGACUGCUGCUCAUCAGUUAUAGCCAUCUCUGCUGUGUGUGUCAAAAUAUUUAUCUGACCAAUUCAAAAUUUUAAAAUAUUAGCUUGUCAUGAAAUGAGCCUGAAAAAGUAAUGGUUGCAAUCUUAGCAGGUAAUGCAUCAUGGACAGAAUACUGAACUGGGAAAAGCAAUAAACUGCUAUCAAGGUGAGAAUAAACAUAAAACUAGAUUGUGGCAUGUGGUUUAAUUUACCUGGAAUGUGACAAUUGUCAAAAUAUAUUGUAUAGGACUGGCCAUGAGGUUUAUGAGUCUCACUAGACAACAUAAGGCAGAAGAGAUUGGAUGAAUGUGGUGGUUCUAUAUAUUUGGAAUAAAAUGUUAGUUUUUCACCCAUUUUGGAAUUUUCAUACAAUUGAGAUACCUUCUUACCAGGUCCUUGUCGAUUUGGUCAUAGUUUUUGGAUGUGAGCUAAGGUAAUAUCCUCCAAGUUGUGAUUUCAAGUAUUAACCAGGGCUAUUCACAAGUCAACACAUAUAUUAAGGAGGUGGCAUUGACAUGAGAAUAAAGUGAAGAAAUCAAAUGAAUGAACUACAAUAGUCCCGUCAAAAUCAUACCGCAUCUGACAUAUCACAGUGAAGCUUUGUCACUGAAUCCCCUCU